ensembl:lncRNA
GGCGGGCUUGUUUACGGCCCGACUGCGCAGGCGUGCUCACCUGGCGCGCUCCACGCGGCGGGGCGUCCGCAGGCUCCUCCCCCUGCCGGGCGCGGCCUCGGCGCGACCCCAGAGACUCGCAGGUGUUGUGGUGCGAGACGGAUUGCCGGGGAGAGGACGUACAGAUACGUAGCAUCUGUGUUUGCUAGUCAAAUAUCUGCAUACCUAUAUGCGGUAUUUCGCGUCCACUAGGUUGUCUCCUUACCAUAUCUGAAUUUUGAUGUGAUGAACAAUUCAGAAAGAAUCUAUAAAAUUAACCUGAAAUGAAGACAUACAAAUGACAACUCAAAUGUGUUUCAGCUGCUGUGAUGCAUUGCAUCUCAUUAUUGUAAUCAAGUUGUUUGUGCACUUCAUACAUCGGUGUAUACGUCUGUGCUCAUCGAUGGAAAUGUGCGGGAGCCUUAACUCAGGAACACUUUUUUCUGUGGCUGUUUUGCUGCCUCGGGGACAGUUUUGCCAACCGGACUUCAUCAGGAUAAGGUGCAUCAGAUAUGCAAAUUUGCACUCCAACAGACUGGGGUGAGGGCUUCCCAGGUGGCCCUAGUGGUAAAGAAUCCACCUGCCAAUGCAGGAGACAUGAGAUGCAAGUUCGAUCCCCGGUUUGGGAAGAUCCCCUGGAGAAGGAAAUGGCAACCCACUCCAGUAUUCUUACCUGGAGAAUCCCAUGGACAGAGGAGCUUGGUUAGCUACAGUCCAUGGGGUCGAAAAGAGUCAGACAGGACUGGAGCAACUUAGCAGGGCAGAGCACACUGGGAUGUAGAAAACACACGUUACCAGUCCACAUGGGUGGACUUGGCUAUUUGUCAUAUUGCUGCCGGUACUUGGCGAGGACACAGGAAUUCUGAUCAAGUUUAUUUCAUGUAUUUCUUAUCAAAAUGGAAAAAAAAAUGUGUGAUGUGUUUGUAAUUGUUUUCACUGCUUGCCAGAGUAUAUCCCUACCAGAGGAGACUUCUGUUCUGACAAAGUAUUGAUGAGAACUGAAUCCUCCUUUGACAUCUGGUAACUGGAAGAAUUUUCACCAGCAAACUCCUGGUUUUGUGUAUUUCUGACACGUCGUGUUUCUCCCCACGUCACACGUGCUUCCGUUGCCAGGCACAGUAGGACCCGUGGGAACUGCUGGUCCUAAACCCUUGACUCACUGGGUCUGAACCCCAGACUGCACAGAGAAGUGACCCAACCGCAUCCACACCACCCAGGAACCCAAACCAAGGGGACGCUCAGACGCGGGGCAGAGGGCGACAGCGGAAACGGAGGAGAAAGGGGUCGGGACCAUUCGUGUUGAUGUGGUUUGAAUGUUCAAAACCUACCAAAACGUGAGCACAUCACUAGGCCCAUCCAAGGGAGCCCUUGCAAGCGAGGGACCUCUGUGGUGGGCCCACCUCUGCUUUAACUUCUGCCCCGUGAAUGGCAGCUGUUCUUGAAAACGCGCCAGACCCCACUGACUCCCAAUCAGGAACCCACUCCCACAUCUAGACCAGGAGACUCCUCUUCCUACCGCCUCCCUUCUCUCCACUCUGCUCCGCCUCCUUUCCCACAGGCGCCACCAGCUCCUUCCGCAAGC